rnacentral:tRNA from 1 species
ACUAAUUUGGCAGAAAUAUUGUAUCAAAUUUAGAAUUUGAAUAUGGUUAAGUACCAGUUAGUG